GUGGAAGGCGCGCUCGAUCUCGAGCAGCAAGGUGCAGAGGAUGAUCGCGGGAAAGGCGAAAACGAUCAUUCCGGCAAAGACCAGCAUGGCCCAGGCAUAGACCGGCAAUGUGUUGAGCCCCAUGCCGGGCGCCCGCGUCUUGAAGAUACCGACAAUGAUCUCGAUGGCUCCGGCAAUGGCGGAGAUCUCGAUGAAGCCGAUCCCCAGUAGCCAGAAAUCGGCAUUGACGCCCGGGGAGAACUCG
rnacentral:misc_RNA from 1 species